CAUGACUUGAGCUGAAGUCGGACACUUAACCAACUAAGCCACCCAGGUGCCCCAAUAUGACUCUUGAUCUCUGAAUCAAAAAGCCCUCCAGAAAGGUUGAUUCCCCUCAGGAUUACAAAACAACUGAAGCAGUUCUAGGUUAAACAUCCCAGCAAGACCAUAACCACAUGUAAAAAUGGAUUAUAUCUCCUGGUGUCUCCUUCCUAGAAUGAGGAACUCUUUCCCAGAAGACCAAGAGUAGACUUACUUCAGUUCUCAUUGGGUAGAAACUGGUGACAUACCCUCUCCUGAAUAAGUCACUGAUAAGGAGAAUGGAACUACCAGGAAGAGUAAUAGUAAUAGCUAAGUCUUAAACCAGUCUGGAUUUUAUCCUAGAGUAAACAUGAGGAUUCUACCAGUAAGGAAGAAGUUGAGGUGGGGUGGAUCUUGGCAGGCAAUCAAUAAAUAGUAUCUGGUAAUACUGAA